rnacentral:tRNA from 2 species
GAUCCCAUAGCUCAGUUGGAUCAGAGCGAUGCUUUCCUAAAGCAUAGGUCGCAGGUUCGAGACCUGCUGGGAUCA